GAUGUAACUCAGUUUGGUAGAGUGCUGCAUUUGGGAUGCAGAUGCCGCAGGUUCGAAUCCUGUCAUCC
rnacentral:tRNA from 1 species